ensembl:lncRNA
CGACUGUGAUAAUGCGUUUUCACAGUUAUUAACAUUAUAACUCUAGCAAACUUUUAUAUUUUGUAUAUUUCAUAUACAAAACUGUUAAUGAACAUUUAUAACACUAUGCAUUGUGUUUUCUUACCUUGGCAUUAAAGAGCAUUGCCAAAUAAACUUAAUGCUGUUUCAAGAGCUGAGGGGAGUGACAGCAAAUUUGACAUCUUUCUCUCUUUUGACCAAGUAAUCAAUCAAUCACUCAGAAUUUUUUUUCUUCUUUUUUUUAGGCAGCAAAAAAGUGAAUAGUGAAGUCUUCUAAUAUUUGUCAGAACUCAAAACAUGUUGAGGUGCAAGAUGACUGCAGUAGUUUUUCUAAUAUGCUAUAUAAAAAGAGACAAAGAAGUAAUAUGUGAGACAUGAAAGUAGCACCAGCAUGUAGCUAUAGACAAUGGUCAAAUAUCUUGCUGUCAUUAUAUAAAAAUACUGACUAAACAGAAUCGACUAUUGUGGAGAGUGACCUACACUGCGUGCAAAAAAAUAGAAUGUAAAAAAAAUUCUCCAGAGCAUCAUCACUGAAUUUAUGGUAAACAUGUAAAAGGUCUGUCACAAUAAAAUCAAUUAUGCACAAGCUGCAUAAUCGCAUUGGAAACUGCGAAGGGCAUCCACUGGGAUGUUCGUGUUGGUUUAACUCGACGGCUUUAGGACCUUCUGGACUGGGUUGCAUCCUGCUCGCUGUUUCGCUACAAUGUCAGCACGCAUGAUCUCUCUCAUCGCUUGCUGCAUAACCUUUUUCCAAUCUGGAAAUGCUCAACUGGGAGAGUCUAAAUUACAUGAUAGACCUUAUGAAGUCCUGCUGAGGCAAAAUCUGGGUAUUCUAAUAAGUGUUCUGUCCAUACUGCUGGCGGUCAUGAUUGGAAUGGCAGUUUGUGUCUACAAACCUCUUCGACGCAGAGGGCUGAGACUGACUGCACACUGCCUCAAACCACUGCUGACAUACAGCUUUCCUCUGCCAACACAUGGCACUCAAAGGUCUGUUGAGAUGAGGUGCCAAGACAACCGUUCACAUCUAGGGACCUAUUAAAUGUCACUUUACACAAGAUUUCUCAAUGGGAAAGUGUAUCUUUGGAUGAAUAAACAACCUUCUUUAUGUACAUGCAUGAGGCUAAUAAACUAUCAGACACCACUGUGCCACAUCCUCUAAUGCUCUCCUUUUACAAUAAUAUGACUAUAAUUGGUGUAAUUUGGAGUGGAUUAGACUUUGGCUUACGUCACAAUUUUUGCAUCCACAAAUUGAAAACACACUUGCAAUUACAAUUUUCAAUUCCUUUUGAAUAGUCCAGAAAAUACUUCCAUAUUAUCCAUAUAUCUUCAAAGAAAAUGUGUUAAUGGUCGUUCUCUUUUCCUUCCCACAGUUAACUGCAAAUGCAAUUCCUUUUGAGUCCAGAAAAUACUUUCAAAGGAUAAAGUUUUUGAAAAAGAGAUAUUACAAAAAACAUUCAAGAUAUAAUAAUAAUAAAAAAAGAAGAAAGACAAAGAUAGGUGCGCAUUAGAGCAGUGCCAUCUGUUGGUUUGUUUCAUGAGGCACAGGACAGAUUAUAUACAGUAUUACCAGACCCAACUAACCCGGUAACCUUUAGGAUAUCUGAAAUAAAAGUUAAAUAACCUAAUAGAAUUAAAAUGAUAAUUUCAAAUAACAAAUAAUUAAAUAAAAUACAAACUGCAUGAAUCUUAAGAUUAAAAAAGUAUAAAAAGGGGCAAUUUCAUGGUUCUUAUGGUAAGAUAUCUCAUAAUUUUGAAGUUUCAGAUAUUGUGCCACUAAUAACCACUUUUAAAAUUUUAAGUAAAAAUAAAUGUUUAUAACUUAGAUUUUAUGAUGGAAUUGAUCUGAUCAAUUUGAUUGUUUUUAUACCUUUAUUUGAUUUGCCAUUGCUUUGCAACUGUCACAUAGUUAAUGAAGCCCCAAAAAGUCAAUAAAGUGCUUUUAUUAAAGUACAAACAUUUUUUUUUGUGUGUGUGUGUCUCAAGUAUACAUCACAGUUUACAAAUGUCUUCAGGAUUUCAUCAACAUGCUCAAACAGGAUACUUUCUCUUGCAUUUUGCAGCAUGACAAUUAACCGAGAUCCAAACCAACACUAAACCUGAUCCGGUAAAGACCAUUAAACAUUUUGGCAAUCAGUUUGAGUUAGGACUUAUACCCAGAUACCAAAAGUUAAAUAAGGGUUUUAAAUAAAGAAAGAAACUGAAUUCUGUGUCCAGGAAUAAUGAUAUGUGGAUAAUCGUAGCCAGAACAUUUGAUUUACCCUACAUUGUUAUUUAAAUGCAGCAUAAGAAUAAAUACAGGAAACUUAAAUCAAUGUCCUGUUAAUAAAACAUCUAUAUUAUAAAUGCAAGUUUGUGGCUGCCACUAUCCUCAGAACCUGGUUCACUACAGGAAGAGUAAAGCAACAUAAAUGUCAAUUUAAGGUGACAGAAGAUAUGGUUAAAAUCGGUUCAAGCACACACUGCUUCAUACAAAAAGUAGUGAGAGAUACUGCAAGCUUUAAGUCAAUACACAGAUGUCUUUUGAACAUCACAAGGCUUUACAGAAAGAAAUCAACAAAAGAACAUUCAAGACAUCAAGAAAAAACAUUGUCAAAAUAAAUAGCACUGUCAGCUACAACAGGAAUGAACAGCGAGAGAUUCCCUAAACAUUCCCAAACAGAGCAGGGCAGGUUCUUCCACAUUUACCACAUCAGAACUUCAGUCAGCAAACAAUGCUGUCCAACCACACACACAUUUCCACAGAAACCAUCAUCUGAAGAAAAAAAAAAAAAGAAAAAAAAAAAGCUUGUUUUCUUGUCACACAUUCCCCUAGUCCUUUAGUGUAGCAUGAGGUUUGGUUGGAGCCAGAAAAGUGACCCAGUACCGCCACAUUCAUGCUUUGCAUUACAACAUAAAUCACAGCGAUCUGAGUGGCUUUAUUGUAUCAUUUUACAAAUUAGGAAGACUAAAAACUUGAGGUGUAUUGGCUUACAUUGGACAGCCCCUUUCAGAAAUAUUCCGGUCUGUAUGAGUGCCUCUUACUCUGGUGAGGCACGGCGGUGUGAUUUAUUGCCUUUACAGUAGAGAUGCUUCAGUCAGAAAUUGUCUAAUGACAAAAGCACACAGGCUGAAAAUGGUACUGUCCUACUGCUUUGUGUAAAACAUUCAUUUCUUUCACUUUUCUUGGCUGUGUAUAAAAUGGUUUUAAAGGAACUGAUAACUGGUGAAUAUCAGUUGAACCCUGAGUACAGUAUUAAUAUAAACCUAAAGCUAAUGCUAAUGCAAAACAACCUUCUUUUCUGUCAAGAAAAAACAAUAAAACUUUAUUACUGUCAAGACAUACAAACUCACAGGACCAUGUUUGGACUGUCAGACACAUCACAACCUUUCUAUCACACAAUCUUAAAAAAGCAGCACUGGAUUUCUUGUAAAAUACAUGCAUGCUCACCUCUUUGAAGGCGGAAAAGAAUGUGGAAAAAUGAAGUAAAAUGUAUGAGUGAGCAUGAAAUAAAUGUUUGCUUAUUUAUUUGUAUUUUUUUAAGGUUAAGGAAGCAGAACCUUUCGGAUGUUGGCUCCAAAAUGAAUAUGUAAAUAUAUGUACUGCGUGAAUCUGAAGAAGGGUAGAAAUAAAAAUGUUUAAUGGUUAUGGCAAUAACAGGAACUCCCUUUGUCUAU